AUUGAACGCUGGCGGCAUGCCUUACACAUGCAAGUCGAACGGUAACAGGUCUUCGGACGCUGACGAGUGGCGAACGGGUGAGUAAUACAUCGGAACGUGCCCAGUCGUGGGGAGUAACUACUCGAAGAGUAGCUAAUACCGCAUACGAUCUGAGGAUGAAAGCGGGGGACCGUUCGGGCCUCGCGCGAUUGGAGCGGCCGAUGGCAGAUUAGGUAGUUGGUGGGAGUAAAAGACUUACCAAGCCGACGAUCUGUAGCUGGUCUGAGAGGACGACCAGCCACACUGGGACUGAGACACGGCCCAG
rnacentral:rRNA from 1 species